UACGUAGGAUGCAAGCGUUGUCCGGAUUUACUGGGCGUAAAGCGCGCGCAGGCGGCAUGGCAAGUAAGGUGUGAAAUCUCCUGGCUCAACCGGGAGGGUGCACUUUAGACUGCCAAGCUUGAGGUCGGUAGAGGGGGGUAGAAUUGCUGGUGUAGCGGUGAAAUGCGUAGAGAUCAGCAGGAAUACCCGUGGCGAAGGCGGCCCCCUGGGCCGUACCUGACGCUGAGGCGCGAAGGCUAGGGGAGCCGAAC
rnacentral:rRNA from 1 species